UACGUAGGUGGCAAGCGUUAUCCGGAAUUACUGGGCGUAAAGCGUGCGCAGGCGGUUCGUUGUGUCGGCGGUGAAAGCCCCGGGCUCAACCUGGGAAUGGCCGUUGAAACUGGCGAACUGGAGUGUGGCAGAGGGGGGUGGAAUUCCACGUGUAGCAGUGAAAUGCGCAGAUAUCGGGAGGAACACCUAUGGCGAAGGCAGCUCGCUGGGACGUUACUGACGCUGAGACGCGAAAGCGUGGGGAGCAAACAGG
rnacentral:rRNA from 1 species